GAUGAACGCUGGCGGCGUGCCUAAUACAUGCAAGUCGAGCGAACAGACGAGGAGCUUGCUCCUCUGACGUUAGCGGCGGACGGGUGAGUAACACGUGGAUAACCUACCUAUAAGACUGGGAUAACUUCGGGAAACCGGAGCUAAUACCGGAUAAUAUAUUGAACCGCAUGGUUCAAUAGUGAAAGACGGUUUUGCUGUCACUUAUAGAUGGAUCCGCGCCGCAUUAGCUUGUUGGUAAGGUAACGGCUUACCAAGGCAACGAUGCGUAGCCGACCUGAGAGGGUGAACGGCCACACUGGAACUGAGACACGGUCCAGACUCCUACGGGAGGCAGCAGUAGGGAAUCUUCCGCAAUGGGCGAAAGCCUGACGGAGCAACGCCGCGUGAGUGAUGAAGGUCUUCGGAUCGUAAAACUCUGUUAUUAGGGAAGAACAAAUGUGUAAGUAACUAUGCACGUCUUGACGGCACCUAAUCAGAAAGCCACGGCUAACUACGUG
rnacentral:rRNA from 1 species